rnacentral:lncRNA from 1 species
GUUCUUUGCCCACCUUAGAUAUUUGUUAGGUCAUGGGUCUGAGGGUGAUCCAGAUCAACCUCCAGCACUCCCGAGCCGCUUCCGCCCUUUUGGGUCGGCUGCUCAUGGGGGGCUGCUAUGACCUUGCUCUAAUUCAAGAGCCAUGGCACUAUAAGGAGCAAAUACGGGGCUUUACUGUAAAAAGGGUAAGUUGUUUUCUUUUACUUCUUGUACCUCUGAUAGUGGUCCUCGGACUUGUGUUUUUGUGAGGAAUAACAUAAGAGUUUCACCCGUUUGGGAUUUCUGUUCUAGGGAUCUCACUUCUGUUCGGGUGAAGCUUGGUGAGGGGGGGAUGCUAGUAGGGAACUUAUUGUUUCCUCUGUCUAUUUCCCUUAUGAUAAAGACGAACUUCUGCCG